rnacentral:rRNA from 1 species
GAUGAACGCUGGCGGCGUGCUUAACACAUGCAAGUCGAACGGGAAACCUUUUAAUGAAGCUUCGGCAGAUUUAGCUGGUUUCUAGUGGCGGCCGGGUGAGUAACGCGUGGGUAACCUGCCUUAUACAGGGGGAUAACAGUCAGAAAUGACUGCUAAUACCGCAUAAGCGCACAGGACCGCAUGGUCCGGUGUGAAAAACUCCGGUGGUAUAAGAUGGACCCGCGUUGGAUUAGCUUGUUGGUGGGGUAACGGCUCACCAAGGCGACGAUCCAUAGCCGGACUGAGAGGGUGAACGGACACAUUGGGACUGAGACACGGCCCAGACUCCUACGGGAGGCAGCAGUGGGGAAUAUUACACAAUGGGGGAAACCCUGAUGAAGCGACGCCGCGUGAAGGAAGAAGUAUCGCUGUAUGUAGACUUCUAUCAGCAGGGAAGAUAGGGACGGUACCUGACUAAGAAACCCCGGCUAACUACGUG